rnacentral:rRNA from 1 species
AUUGAACGCUGGCGGAAUGCUUUACACAUGCAAGUCGAACGGCAGCACGGACUUCGGUCUGGUGGCGAGUGGCGAACGGGUGAGUAAUGUAUCGGAACGUGCCCAGUCGUGGGGGAUAACGUAGUGAAAAUUACGCUAAUACCGCAUACGAUCUCUGGAUGAAAGUGGGGGAUCGCAAGACCUCGCGCGAUUGGAGCGGCCGAUAUCAGAUAAGGUAGUUGGUGGGGUAAAGGCCCACCAAGCCAACGAACUGUAGCUGGUCUGAGAGGACGACCAGCCACACUGGAACUGGGACACGGUCCAGACUCCUACGGGAGGCAGCAGUGGGGAAUUUUGGACAAUGGGCGAAAGCCUGAUCCAGCCAUUCCGCGUGCAGGAUGAAGGCCCUCGGGUUGUAAACUGCUUUUGUACAGAACGAAAAGGUUUCUACUAAUACUAGGAGCUCAUGACGGUACUGUAAGAAUAAGCACCGGCUAACUACGUGCCAGCCGCCGCCGUAA